GCCUACGGCCAUAUCACCCUGAACACACCCGAUCUUGUCUGAUUUCGGAAGCUAAGCAGGGUCGCGUCUGGUUAGUACUUGGACAAGAGACAUUAUGGGCA
rnacentral:rRNA from 1 species